AUGUUGGUUACUGUGUGUGUGUGUUGCGCUAAUCGCCUGUUUAUCAUGUGUUUUUUCACUUCAGAAAUGGUUUCAUUCAAGGCAGUAGGCGAAACUGAGGAGACCAGGAGAAUGCAGACCUAUACCUGGACCCAAAGUGGACUGGAUCGAUCCGUCGCUGGACAAUCCUCAAGUCCCCAAGUUACCAGUGGUCAGAUGAGUGAGAUUCCAAGCAGCUAUUCUCGUCAAUAUGGGCCAGUCAGACCAGCUGUCCUGUAUAUAGAAGGUGGUCAAUGCCUACCACACAGCGGACAAGUAACCAGUGGAGGUUACUGGAGUGGACCGACCCUCAAUCAACAGGCUUCAAUGGUUAACAUAAACUCAUCUCAGCAUUCACCCACCAGAGAGCAAGUUCUGAUGGGUACUAGUCCCCUUUUGACAUCACUCUGGACUAACAAUGCAGCGGCUCCUCAAUCAACUGGUGUUACAUCACAAAGUGGAAACCAUCACACCUUGCCCGGAAGGGUUAACAGUGUAGCUCUUCCCAAUUUCCAGCAGGGACAGGGGUUUUUGGGUGUUAAAAAUAACAAUCCACAGAGGCUCGUUAAGGAUGGUCAGGGUGCAACCAUUCACUGCCCCCCUCAUAUUAAUGCACCACUGAAUGCAAAUGUUAUGUAUCAUAUAAGCCCAGCGAGUGGCAGUCAGCAGCUUGUACUUGGCAGACAAGAUGGGGCCUCCAGUGGUACCUCUGCUUCUCUUGCAAUGGGUAGGAGCCCCAACCAUGUAAAUCAUGUAGUGAGUGGGCAGGAUUCAAGAAGGAUAGCAGUUCAAGCUCCUCAUCAGGGAAACCCACAAACACCAAACUCUUUGCAAAGUGCACAGGAAACAACAUAUAACCAACUGUUGUAUUUACUUCAAAAUCAGAACAAUGACAGCAGGACUGAGAUGAACAGGGUUCAACAUGGAGCACCUGUCCACACUGGCUCAUCAAACCACAGUCAGAUGUAUCCCUCUCAACUUCUCACUGGCAUCAACAACCAGGUCAAUGUACCAAAUGCUGCAAUGGGAAUGCCAAUGCAUAACAUUAGCCAGAAUCCUCAGUACAAUGUACAAAGUACAAAGUAUAACCCCCCUUUUAAUAAUUCUCCAAGACAUGUCCCCAUCUGCCCUAAAAGCCUUCCCAUCCCACCACAACAGAACAGACUCCCAUCUUAUUGUGCAAAUAAUAACAGUCAGUUAGGGCCCAUUGGAAAUAAUGCACACCAUGCCUCUCAUCCUAGGCUCCAUAUCCAAGGCACAGUCCCUACCCUACAUUACAAGCCAGACUGCACCAAUAUUCUGGUAUCCAACACUGGACCAUCUCCAUCUGUGCCAAACUAUAGUAUACAGUCCUCAGUCCAGCACAACCGUGAAACCGCGCCUCCACCAUACCCAGUCCAGCAGAUACGUAAGUCCGCGCCUCCACCAUACCCAGGCCAGCACUCCCAUGGGCCCGUCCUGAACAAGACAGAACAUGUGGUUGGGGCAGGAGCACAUUUUCUGCAACACUUGCCUAACCAAGGCGCAGCCCCUACCCUACAUUACAAGCCAAAAAACAAUUAUGUUCAGUUAUCCAACACUGGACCAUCUUCAUCUGUGACAAACCAUGGUAUGCUGUCUUCAGGCCAGCGAAACUGUGUUGGAAAUGUGAGCAAACCUGGGGAACAUUCUUGUGUCCAAAGUCCAUCACAAGGCCAAACAACCCUUGCUCGAUCUGCUUCUUUGACAAAUGAAUCAGAACAAGAAGUCCCCAGGAUCAGACUAGAAUCAGGGGCUGAUAAAACAUUGACUCAGGGUUCAGAAACUUCUGAUGUUGAAAUGGCCAAGACAUAUUCAUGUUUUAAGUCUCAACGGUCAUUAUCAAAUGGGUUACGUGCAGAGAAAUUUGAUUCUCAACCAUUAUCUAAUGUGGAAUGUCAAGCCACUCUGAGAAAAGAGUUAGCUGACACAGAAAUGACCACUCAUGUGAAUGUUAACCAAUUGAGUGAGGAAACAAAUGAAAAAGUCGAUUCCGAUGAGGACAUUUUUGAUUUGUCCUCCAUUCCUGUAAUCAAAUGGACCCUUGGUAAAUUGAAGGAGUUGGUAGAUACUGUGCAACGUCAAAAAUGCACUGCCACACCAGUUGAAAGCAAAAUACUAAGCCUCUAUUGGGAUGGAGAUGGGCCAAAGCUUAUGGAUGCUGCAAGAUCUGGUAUGUUACAAAAUAUAAUGCAAGAGGUUAGAUCUGUGUGUGGCGACGAUGACGAUAUGUCAUCACAGUCUGUCAUAUUUUCACAAGCCAGGCGCAAAAACUGGGGUCAAGUUGAAGAGAAAUGUGCUAUUCUUAAACAUGAUUCUGUUCACCCCGAGUUCCCGGCACAAGAGUCAUCAUGGUUGAACACAAAUAAGCAGCUUGAUGACAUAGACAAGGAGUUUGGAUUCCCAUGGUCACUAAGAUAUGACCAAAAGACUCUUCAAAGAGGAGAUGAACAACCAAAACUGAUUUGUACCGAAAAUGAAAAAUCUACAGCCUCUGCCAUUGACAUGCAGACUGAGGUCACUCAGGCGACGAGACCAACACCCUCUGAUUCUGAUGCUAAAGAAAUUCAAGGGUCAGGUUUGGCACACAGUUCCACCCAGACCCUCUCACUGGUUAAGAGAGAAAAAGCAGGUAUCAUUUUUAGUGACCCAUUUUCCUCCCUGGAGAUCAACGUGCUGACACCAGAAGAGGCUUUGCAGUUUUUCAGUGGGCAGCUACUACAAGAUGAAGUGAACGAAGACCUGUUGGAAUUGCCAAUGGAAAUGGAUGCGGAGCUGAUUGAGUUGAAAGAUUACUCAGUGGAGGAUAAAUCAUCUGAGAGGGUAGAUGUGAAGUUGACUGAUUUAAAACUCAAAAACAAAGGGGAUGUCCAAUCAGAAGAUUACUGUUGCCUCUCUCGUUGGAUGUCAGUGUUCAGUGGGUCCACCAAUUCUUCGUCCUGCAAAUGCCAAUACAAGACGAAAUUGGGUUCAGCAAAGGCCACUCUGAAUGCGACGGCAUUGGUUGAGGUAACAUUGUCUGUUGAACCCAGCACAACAAAAGCAGAACAAAGGGAAUGCGUGCAUUUGUGUAAAUCAAAUGGCACAGCAGAAGAAAAGCGUGAAGAGAAUCCUGUAAAAAAUGUGAAUCCUCAAUCUUGGAAAUCUACAGGCAUUGAAGAAUGCCAAACAAUUGUCUUGUCUGAUAGAAAAUCUGAGACUGCUCACAUAUACACAAAUGGGGUGAAGAGCUUGCCUUUGUCAAAAGCCCCAGCACUGCAACUCCCCAUCAACCACACAAACAUUGUUGAAAUUGAAGAGGUCUUCUCGCGUUAUGAAGACUUAAUCAAAGUAGCCACCUCAAUGUCGGAGCUAGUUUGGGACGAUGUACAGCCAAAGCAGAAACUACCAGGUCCGUUCCAGAAACAUGUGGAAUGUGUACAAGAACUUGGUGUUAUUUUGGAAGAAGGAAACCCUAGAGGUAGUGAAGUCGUUCCUACAGCUCCCAUUCCUACUUCUAAUCUGCAACCUGAAGUAACAGACAAAAUCGGUUUCCUUACAUCACUUUCCUUGGCACAAAGAUGUCACAAACAUCUAUCUCCUAAAACAAAUUGUAGCUACAAGGUUAAACAAAAAGGGGUUGGACUCAAGAGAAGAUGUGUUGAAAGUCCUCAUUCAAAUGUGCCUGUCCCAAGAAAGCAAAGGAAAAUGAGGGACGGAUUAGGUCCCUCCUUUCACCUUGUUCCUGAGGUCAACUUGACUGAUGAUGAUGAUGAAGAUUUUGAGCCCCCCAAUACAACUACUUCUAAGUCUUUGGAAGAAGAGAAACAUUCAAAAGGUAGCAAUCUCCAGAAGCCAACAGAACAUGGAAUUGGGAACAACAUUUGCAGGGUUGGCACAGUAAGUCUAGCCUUGUUUGGUUCCACGCUCCAACGCAAGGACCAUAAUGCUUCUCGAGCCAGACCUUUUGCAGACAAUGCUCCAGCACCUCCUGUAACCCUCAGUGUGAAUGUCAACUCCUGGACAACGGAGCCCUCCGAGACCAGUCCUCCAGUGGAAAGCCCAAUCAAACAAUGGAUCUUAAGCGAGUGGAAUAAUAGUUUUAUCCCGACAAAGACAAAGUCCAGGGGCAAAGUGCCAAGACUACAAAACAGAAGAGGCGUUGCUCCAAAAAUGAUUUGUGCUGAAAUGGCUAAAAAGAUUGUUGCCCUCACCAACACAGAUGGAGGUGCAUUAUCCUCUGAAAGGCGAGCCACACCAGAAAGAACUGUAAAGGCCAAGCAGACUUUGCGGCGCAUUGAAAGAGAAAGAAUCUUAAGCGGCCUGAAACUCAGACUGAAGAAAUCUAGGAUUGAGGCAGUGCCAUCCGGUAUCCCUGAUAUAGUGGAAAAGGGUAAAUAUGAAAUCGGAAACCCUGCUUCUUUGCCUCGUGAGGAGAACAGUCUUAUGUUUAGUGUGCUGCCGGAGUCAUUCAACUUCAAAGAAGUCAUGGACCCUCCGACACAGACAGGUUCAAUGAAUGACAUGGCUGGUCCAGUUGCUGUGAAGGCUGAGAAUCCUAAGGCAAUAGUCCAAAAAUCCAAAGGUGUAUGGUCUGUUGGCAUUCAGAAGAGAUAUUGUCCUCUCACCUCUUUGACCAUUAAAGUUCCCAAGACUUCCUCCACCACCUUCCAGAAGUUUCAGAAGAAAUUCAAGCAGAAGAAGUAG
ensembl:lncRNA